GAUGCAAAGUUCACAUGUCUGAGCACACAUAAGGGACGCUGUGAAUACGUGUGUAUUUGUUGUGUGCAUGCCUGCAGAAUGGGACACAGAGACUCACUCUAUUCAUCAGGGAUUUGUUUUAAUCAGGAAUUGGCAAGCAUGGGAAGAGCAUGCUGUCCAGGGUCGGCAAGGCCUGGAAAUGUCAGAGCAUCAGAAUACUGAAAAUAAAAGACAUGGUCAGUACUCAUACAUAGACAUGACACACACCUGUACACGCAUACGCAGACUCACACUGUGAACAGCUGAGUUAAAAAAGCCUUCCACUCCUGGAAGCGGGAGUCACAUCACUUUCUCCAAAGCAUGUCUUAUCCUAUACAAUGGGUGCUUUAAGUGCAAGAAUACUCAAGAAAUUGCAGGGAUAAAGUUAAACAAAUCCAAGUGUUA